ACUAGGUGUGGGAAACAGUGAAUAUUGAGUCAGAGAGAAAAAAGAGGCUUCAAGUGUCCUCCCCAGUGAGGAGGCCUCCGCAGAAUGACCCGAUGAAGAGACCUCCUCUCUCUGAAUGCAGGGAGGGCUAGAGAUGCAGAUAUGCAUAAGCGCAUGGUGCUGAGGAUGGAGUGACUGAGCCCUUGACUGCAGCUCCCUUCAGAGACUGCAGUUUACUGGCUGCACACAGUCUGGUGUGGGGAGGACAAUUUUUCCCUGUGAAGCCUGCCAGGUUUCAGAUAGUAGCUGAACAUGGCAUAGAAAUUUAGGAAUUUCUCUUCCUCAACAACCCCACCUGACACAAGCAUCAGCCACGGUGAGCUUGGCGAUGAUCUCCCUUCCCCUUUGCUACGGAGCUGGUUUGGAUUAAAGUCACAUACAAACUGAGCCAUCUCCAACAUCUACAUCAGGAAGUAACUCUAACUCAAGAUAGAGGUCACUGGAGGGGCAACAGGUGCUGAGAUGUCUAUGCAGGCAAGUCUGAGGUUAGCCUCCCAGAGUUUCGGGGAAAAGCACACAGGCAUUCCUGAACACUCUGAGAGGUGCAGAAAAGUGGCUGAGCAGACAGACACAAGGUCUGGCAUGGAGGCAGAGGAUCACAGCGGAGCAUGGACCUAACAGCUGGAUGCCGUGUGGUGAUAUCACUAUCAGCAGAAGAUGCAACAAGACCGGGGCCACUGCUCAAGGCCAGAGAAACAGGUUCAUGGAAAACCAGUUUAGCAUCACUAACAAGCCACCUUACGGGUGUAGAUAAAGGACUGGCGCCACAACGUCUAUAUGGACUAAACUUUUCAUUUUCAUCACUUUUUGCUUUUGACACCUCCUCCUGCAUGAGGGACAACACCAUUCAGCUGUUGGGAGACAACUGUCCUCGAGUCUCAUGUGUUCCUGCAUUUGUUGUGAGGAGAGGCUCUAACGAUCUUUGCUUCAGACUAUCUUUCCAAGGAUAUUCGUAUGGUGAACAGCACUGAAGGGUAGAGAUGGUGUCUCCCACCAGAGCAGAGGAGAAAUUUGUCUUCUGGCCAGUGUAAUAUAGAUACCUUCCUAGAGGGAAAAGGGUGGGCCUAUUUGCCUGCACCCCAUUAGAAAAGACUGGAUUUUAUACGCUCUGGGUUCCUUGGCUCUUCAUCAUCCUUGUGGGAUUUGUGGGCAUGGAGAACUGAGAACUGGUGC
rnacentral:lncRNA from 1 species